NACCUGGUUGAUCCUGCCAGGANNCNUNNGNUUCGGUUCAAGNNNUNAGNNNUNNANNNNNNANNNNANNGCGNNUUUCUACCCCAGUGGGUCUGAGAAUGGCUCCUUACAUCAACAGUGGCCUCCGGGAUAGAGUGUGCAUGGCACCACUNUGUCCAGNAUGGACAUUCCNNAACCUAGGGAUAAUACUCGCCUUNAACNGUGCCNNNGUGUUGNNUCNGNCANNNNUNGUUCCANNCCNCCCAGCUGNCCGUGCCAGUGGUGGANCGCGUCCAGCUGCUGGUGAAGACCAGUGCCUGNAACAAAUGGCAGCAUGUCCUGUUGACUCAGGCUGGUUCCUCCCCGGAACGCCUGCCUGGCAGAGUGGUGGCUCCUGCCACAGCAUUGCUUGAGCGCAUCUUCUGACCUAUCAGCUUGGAGUGUGGUGUGUUGGACCACCAUGGCAGUGACGGUUGACAUAGAAUCAGGGUUCUAUUCCGGAGAGGGAGCCUGGCGAGGCGGCCGCAUCCAAGGAAGGCAGCAGGCGCGCAAAUUACCCAAUGCUGACACAGGGAGGUAGUGACAAAAAAUAACAAUACCGGGCUUUUACGUCUGGUAAUUGGAAGCAAUUUAAAUCCCUUAACGAGGAACAAUUGGAGGGCAAGUCUGGUGCCAGCAGCCGCGGUAAUUCCAGCUCCAAUAGCGUAUAUUAAAGUUGUUGCAGUUAAAAAGCUCGUAGUUGGAUUUCUGGUCUGAUGCGUGGCCGACGGGGGUAACUCCGCCAGUAUGUCGUGUGUGUCUGCCAUCUUGCUAGUUAACCAGCUGCACUUAACUGGGCGGUUGGCGAUCUAGCUCAUUUACUUUGAAAAAAUUAGAGUGUUAAAGCAGGCUUGGCUAGAAUACAUUGCAUGGAAUAAUAAUUUAGGACUUUAUUUCUAUUUUAUUGGUUUCUAGAGAUAAAGUAAUGAUUGAUAGGGAUAGUUGGGGUGCUAGUAUUCACCGCCAGAGGUGAAAUUCUUGGAUCGGUGAAGACUAACUUAUGCGAAAGCAUUCACCAAGGAUGUCUUCUUUAAUCAAGAACGAAAGUUGGGGGAUCGAAGACGAUCAGAUACCGUCGUAGUCUCAACCAUAAACUAUACCAGCUAGGGAUUAAGUGGAAGUUGCUUUUACGACUCCAUUAGCACCUUAUGAGAAAUCAGAAAGUCUUCGGGUUCUGGGGGGAGUAUGGUCGCAAGGCUGAAACUUAAAGGAAUUGACGGAAGGGCACCACCAGGAGUGGAGCCUGCGGCUUAAUUUGACUCAACACGGGGAAACUUACCAGGUCCGGACAUAGUGAGGAUNNNNNNNNUNNNNNNNNNNNNNNNNNNCCNUNNANNNNNNNNNAAGGCCGCUCCUGAGUGGUGGAGGAUUUGUCUGGUUGAUCCCAAAACGAGUAGACAUCAUUGCCCGACUAGCCCCAGGCUUCGUGCUGUAGGGAUGGUGGCUGCUACCUGCAAGUGGGUCCUCCCACCGACGGUGCUGCACACUGCCUGAGAGCCCUGGGGGAUCGUCUUCUCAGUGGUGCUGUGUCCGCCCAACCAAGGGCAUGCAUGCUAGAGCCAACAGCAGGUCUGUGAUGCUCCCAGAUGUCCUGGGCUGCACGCGCACUACACUGGACUGGUGAAUGGGUGCUGCUACCAAACUGGCAAUUCUGCCUAGACCUGUCCAGGAGUGGAUGGGAAUCCUGCAGCCCAGCCCGUUGCUGGGGAUAGAUGCUUGCAACUGUCUGCCUUGAACGAGGAAUGCCUAGUAAGUGUGGGUCAUCAGCCCACACUGAUUGCGUCCCUGCCAUUUGUACACACCGCCCGUCGUUGCUACCGAUGGCAGCUGGAUAGAGCCACCUGGAAUGCCCCAGGGGGCCUGCCGCUCGUCUGCAAGUGCCCCCUGUGCUGAAUUCUGCAAUGUCCUGCUGCUAGAGGAAGCAAAAGUCGUAACAAGGUUG
rnacentral:rRNA from 1 species